UCUGCCUAAUCCCAGGCCUGGGAGGAGGCUUAAUUCAGAAGUCUGCUGAUACACUACAGAAGGAGGAUGGUUCUUACAGAGUACUCCACUGAGAUCCUUCUUUUCAUCCUCCCAGUACACCCAAGACAUGGUCUUUGGCCUAACACAGACUGAGAUCUCUCUUCAGGGUCAGGGGUGGGGAGUCAUUCAUUCCAGAGACAGUGCCCACAUGUCCUUCCAAGAAGGUUGCAGUGUCCUUCAGAAACUUCUGAAGCCGCUUGGGUCAUGCUGGCUACAAGUCCUGCUCAUCAGCCUGCUGUUCAUUCCAGAGGAAUUCCUGGCAGCCAGGAGUACACUGUGACUCAGUCUCAUCUGUCAAGGCCAAUACAGGACACGGCCGUCCGCUUCGCCUACUGCUCUCCGGUGGCCUCCUAUCAUCGCUGCAAAGCCUGUGAACAAUUCCCAUGGAAUAAAAAUGGAAUCUGAGUCAUA